GUUCUUCUUCUUCUUCUGCA
rnacentral:sRNA from 1 species